rnacentral:rRNA from 1 species
AACGAACGCUGGCGGCGUGGAUUAGGCAUGCAAGUCGAACGAAACAUUUAGCUUUUUCGAAUGUUGAGUGGCGAAAGGGUGAGUAACGCGUGGGCAACCUGCCCUAAGGUGGGGGAUAACCUGUCGAAAGACGGGCUAAUACCGCUUAAGCUUCCGGACUGAGAUGUUCGGAAGGAUAGAUGGGGAUUUCUUCGGAACCUGUCGCCUUUGGAUGGGCCCGCGUCCUAUCAGCUCGUUGGUGAGGUAANGGCUCACCAAGGCUAAGACGGGUAGCUGGUCUGAGAGGAUGGUCAGCCACACUGGGACUGAGACACUGCCCAGACACCUACGGGUGGCUGCAGUCGAGAAUCUUCCGCAAUGGGGGCAACCCUGACGGAGCGACGCCGCGUGCAGGAUGAAGGUCUUCGGAUUGUAAACUGCUGUCAGCAGGGAAGAAUAGGUGCUUGGUUAAUAACCAGGC